GGAGAGGUGAAACAGGAGGAGGUGGGUGAGAAACUCACCAAAUGCUUCAAAUACAGAACCGUGAGGCACUCCACGUGUGAUAUUACAGAGUUCAGAGCUUACAUUAUGUAUUUGAACAAACUGUUUCCUGUUUUCCAAAUAGCUAGAUACCCACUGUAGAGUUGGUCCUCUUAUACCAUAUUUAUUUAGCUUUUCAAGGAGAAUUGUGUGAUCAAUGGUGUCAAAUGCUUUCUUUAAAUCCACACAGUAAAUACUAACACAGUACUGUUUUUGUGAAGAAUCAUUUUGUUUGUUUCCUUUUCCUGAUUGGUUCCUGCCCUUAUCAUCUACACCUGUGAGGGAUUUCUCCUGAUGAGUUGCUGGACUUUAUAAGACGUCUCCACUGUUUGGUCUACACUGAUUGGAUCAUCAAGAUUACCUGAAGCCUCACGGCCCGCAGACCAGUCGUCUUCGAAAACCUCUUACCUGGAACAAGAUAAGGAACCAACCAUCAAGUACUGAUCUAAGGUCAUUUCUCUGACAACUAAGCCAUUCUGCCUGAAGAAAUCAUUACCUUUGUGAACCCCUCCUUCGUCCAUGCUGCUCGCCUCCUAGAAACCUCCAGAUGUCCCAGAUACUCYCCUGUAAAUAAAUCACUUAACCUUUUCAUUGUUUUUCUGUUUGGUUACUCGGCUCUGCCACAUUGUUGAACAGUUACCCAUGUCAGUUUUUGAUCAACUGCUGUUGUUAUUUUUUCAAUCAUUUCCAUGAGAGCAAUUGAUGUUGAUUGAUUAGCUCUAAAUCCAAACUGACUGUUACUAUGAAUAUUUUGUUUAUCAAUAAACGGAUCUAAUCUAGUCACAAAUAACUUUUCUAAGAUUUUUGAAAACUGUGGCAACAAGGAUAUUGAUCUAUAUUUUAUAAACAUUUCUCACCAUUCUUAUAGAGAGGGAUUACCAUAGCAAUUUUCAUGUUGUUUGAAAAAAAAAUCCUGUUGAAAAUGAUAAAUUACAGAUAUAUGUAAAUGGAUCAAUAACAUAACCCAUUAUUUCCUUCACAAGCAUCAUGUUCAUGUCCACCCAGUCUUUUGAUCUUUUGUCAGCAAAGUGUUUUACAAUAUUCAUUAUUUUUUGUUUAUCAAUUUCACCAAGAAAAAUACUAUUGGCACAACCCAUGACUGUAUGGCCGACAUUCUUAUCUACUCAUGUUAUUUUAGCUGCAAAGCUUGGGCCAACAUUUACGUAAUAUUGAUUAAAUUUAUUUACUAUUACAUUUAGGUCAUUCAUUUCCUUGUCUUCCUCUACAAAAUAUUGUGAAGUAUCUGAUCUUGUUUUAUGUCUCUGAAGAAAUUUUGUAACUGAUUAAUUGAAUAUUAGAUUCAGUUUUGUAUUUUAUACUUUCUGAUCA